UUUUAAUUGUAUAUCAGUGAAUAUAAAGAAGCUGUGCUUUGUCAAUUGAACAAGGAAGAUGAAAUACCUGAUUCAAAACAUCAAAACUAUUGGUUUGAAUCGUGUGAACAAGAAAUGAGGAUCAGGGUGCUAGGGCGCUAGUGCGCUCAGCGGAGUUCCACUUCCGGUCUGGCCCAGCGGCAGCACAUCUUGAACUACGCUGGGUGUUAGGUUUUGUGGACGGGCCGGGGCCGCAGUAACGCCGCAGUCAGGUUAUAGGUUAUCAUGAUGACACUGCACACCAAAGUACUCAGUACUAUUGAAAGAAGACAGACUUUUAAAAAAAAAGAAAAAAUUAAUUGAAUGGCUAAUGAAAAAGGAAUUCCUUCAAGGAAAAAUGAAAUGCAAACUCUGCAAAAAGAGGAUGAAACUGGAGAAACACUCAAACGUCGACGGACUGCAGUGGAAGUGCCGACGUAAAAAAACACCGAGGGAAAACGACGAAGAAAUCAGUGAGGUCUUUGUCCCUGUUUCAGAGGAGCAAAUUGUCCUUGUUCAGCUGGAUGAAAUACAUUUACAGAUUUUCCCAGGGACUGCAGCUAAGGCAAAUUGACUUGCUGCAGGAUGGCGUGGCAGGAAGCAGUCGCACGCUGUCAAAAAUGUGCCUGAAGUUGAGGAAGGUCUGCAAGAGUGCAAUCAAGAGGAGAGAAAGGAGGAGAAAGCAGAGACUUGGAGGACCAAACAAAUGUGUCAUGCUGGACGAAAGCAACUUCUACCACAAAAGGAAGUAUGGUAGGGAAAGAUUCGGUCCUACGUGGAGGAGGAGAAAAUGGGUCUUUGGAAUGCUGGGCAUCAGAGGAAAAGGAGAAGACCUAUCCUGAGGCUGGUGAUGAAACAAAGAUCACGGCGCCACUUAAUUCCUCUGGUCACAAAAUACGUUCGCCAAGGGACCACGGUGAUAACGGACAUGUGGAGGGCAUACACCACUGCAAUCGCAGAAAGUGGCUUUGUCCAUUUCUCUGUGAACCACAGCCGGUCAUUUGUGAACCCAGACACAGGAGCCCACACCCAAAACAUUGAGCGGGCUUGGUCAACGUACAAGUCACAGGUCUGGAGACUGCGAGGAAACCGCACAGUGAAGACUCUGAAGAGUCAUCUUGCUUUCAUCGAGUGGACACAUUGGCUGGCAAAUGAACACAAAGAUGGUCCCUUAGGCAGAUUGCUGCAUGACAUACGCCACUUUUGCAAGUUCUGAUGCAACCUUGUUUUCAUUAUUAGUGUCCUUUGGAUUGUUGUUUAAA